rnacentral:rRNA from 1 species
UGGUGGAGUGAUUUGUCUGGUUAAUUCCGAUAACGAACGAGACCUUAACCUGCUAAAUAGCCAGACCGUCUUCGGAUGGUCGCAGGCUUCUUAGAGGGACUGUCAGGAUCUACCUGACGGAAGUUUGAGGCAAUAACA